UGAACAUUGAAUAUUAACGUUAAUGUCCCAGAAAGAAAAUCCCCCAGCAUUAGCUGUGAGUUAAUGUCGACAUUUGUUUACAUCCAGAGCCCAUGACAGUUGCAUUGCGGGAUACCCGAACACUGCCGAAGUUAUGACCACGUCGAGGUCGGCGUUAGUGAAUUCUGAUUGGCUGUAUGCUAAGUAUUUUACGCAUGCAUCCAUAUAAGGAAAUUUUCGGCCCUUUGUAGUCUAGAAAAGAGCUCGUAUCAUAGCGUGGGACCUUCUAUCGGCCUUAAACCAAUGACCUUUCGUCCGGUAUGCGAAGUGAGCCAGUUUCGCACGUGGUGGAGUGUGUUGGUGCUUGGACGUGCCUAGAUGUCACAAGGAACGGCUUUGAAAUAGGUUGUCAUGUCAACUACAGCGACUGUUGGUGAAACUCCCCUUCACCCUUCACAUGGCGAGUCGCACUCGAAAUUGUCCUGAAGAAUGUGAACUUUUGCUGACCAGUGUUGAGCUGAAUGCUCGAGACCAUUUCCUCAAGACAUGAAAACAAUAAUCCUGAUACAACAUGGAGCUGAUCUCAAUGCAAAAUAAAUGCACCACCGCUCUACUGGUGUCGCCAAGACACUAUGAUCAAGUAUACCUCCUUAUCGCUGGAGCACCCUUGACAGACUUAAGACUAUUUCUCCAACGAGAUAGACAAUUUUUCUACAUAAAAUACCAUUACCUUUAACUAAAGUCUUUGUUUUAAGUGCUUAAUAUUAAAUAUUUUUGCUUAGUAAAUGACAAACGUUUUGGUAUCUUACUCUAGUGUAAUUGAGAGAUAGUUUGUGAUGGUACAAAAAGAAUACAAACGAAAGAGAUAACGACUUUUUUUUUUUUUUUUUGUGACAUGGUCACGAGCACGACACCAAAGAGACAGCGAUCCGUCCAAAAACAUUCUGAGCAAAAUGUUCAGACUAGUAACAAACAGUGUUUACAACAAGACCGUGACCGGCAUCGCCAGGCCCUGCGACGUUUACUACAUCGGUGACUCUGACUGUGAAAAACUUAAAAAUAACAGUCGCUUUCAAAAACUGACACAACUGACGGAAGACCAUGCUUUUCUAAGCUUUGUCGAAAUGGGCUCUUUCAAUACAUUUUCCCCAAAUACAAAAACAAGGGUGGGGGUCUCAGGAACAAUCACUCGGGGUAUGACAUGAUCUUAAAGUUAUAAACAAGACCAGUUAUACUCGACUUCACACACAACCUUUUUCAUACACCAUUACACUCAGCAGCAUAUAUAAAAAAAAAAAUCAUUCUAUUUUAAAAAGAUAAAAUAUCCUCACGGCCAGAAAAAACAGUUUGUAGUAACUGGUGAUUAUAUUAGCAAUAUCGACCCUUCUCACAUUACCCUUCCCCGUUCACACACCCUUAUCUUAGAGAAACAUCACUCAUACACUUACCAAACAAACCAAUCACAACACCAAUCCUAGAUAUAUAUAUAAUUAUAUCUAGAAAAAGCUUGAUUCAUUAAAACUUUAGGAUUAUAAGAGCCUUUCUCCACCAAAGGUAAACAGAACUGAUCAAAAACAUUUGACAACACAUGAUGGACUUGCUGUAGACAUUAAUCAAUACACUAAUCCAUUCAAAAUAACCUCAAUAAACAUACUUCUGCUGACACUACACACUGUACAUCAGAGAUAAAUGUGAGAAAAAAGUGAUAAUCAUACACACACACACAAAGAGGGCCAAAAAAGUAAUACAUUUCAUCCUCCAAAACUUCUGGGAAAAAUGAACAAAAGCGGGGUACUUCAUAAACGCUUAACGGUUCCUGUGGUAAUUAAUUUCUGAAACACCAAUCCUAAACCGAGCGUAGGCUUUUGUUACAUAAAUCUUGUUUAUAAUAUCCAGUAUCAGUGGCGCAGGAAGAUGCCCGGCUUUGUGUGUGUGAACCAUGUUGACUGUGAACGACUUUCACGUUCUUGCCUCCUCUGUCUCUUUUUUUGAGGGGCGACUGACCCCCAGGUUCCUAUGCCACUGCCAAUAUUUUAUUGUAUUUUAUUUGGCAGCACACACUUACACACACGCUGUGCUCCAGUCUAUCUGGUUGCAUUUAACGUUUAUUUAAAUCGGGUGUGUAUUCAGCGAUCUCGAUCUUCUCGACCUGCAAACAGUAGCAAACCAGAGAGAGAGAUGGGAUGGCGUACAAGCGUAUACUGUCACUGGUGCACCCAACCCAUCUCAGUGUAUAUACUGAAUGACGUUGGGUCACGUGAUGUUGCACAGAUCUUUGUGACAACAGCUCCGGCCCUCGACAACCGUCAAAAGUACUUUGGAUCUGCGCGUGACAUCACAAAGGUAUUUUAUCGCAUACUCCGCUGACCUCCAGUGGUGCAUUCUACUAUAGGUUGUAUAUAUUUCGAUGACACCACGUGAGUUUUUGUCGGACAUCUACCUAUUACCUGCCGUUCUUGUCCACAUCACGCUCUCCUUCAACACACCCCCACCCCGAUAGGGCCUUAUCUCUCCCCCCCCACCCUUUUUAUUCAUCGGCCAUUGCCAGCUAUCCGGGGCUGACAUCUUGCUCCUCUUACCGUAAACCGAGUCGCUGUACAAUAUAUCCGCACGCGCCAUCUCGGAAACGAAUUCAUCUUCUUUUCUCUUCGCGCACAGAUUGUUAGCCGUAAAAGGAGAGGUGACUCUCGAGACCCUCCGUGCAAUGCUGUCGUCGUGUUGUUGCUGUCGUCGCGUUCAUUAAGGUCAUCGCAUACGAGCAUCACAGCAACAGGAUCAUAACGCGGCAGUUAGCCGUCAUUAGCACGAGGUCACGUGAACGUGGUGCCGUCGGUCUCCUGCAGCAGCUCUAUUUAUUCACGCACUUCACUGGUCCAGGACGUGGCGCACGUGCGAGUCGAACAAGAUGCACACGGGCACCGCUCACCCCAUCUCCCUCGUGCACAACAUUCGUCUUUGCAGAAACACCCUCUUUACGACUAGCAACAUCAACAUCUCAGUGUAGUUGGUGGUUUUAUUGCCAACAUUCAUUUGCGCAGCUUCCGUGUCAAAAGUGCGUACAGCAUUCAGCACAAGUACUCUAGAAGUUCAUUACCGUUAGAUUGUAUGUCAGAAAAACAGCCCAGGCACAAAAACACAGGCAUAAACCCUUGUUCUGGUUUCCUGACAGUUCGCGUACGCCAACUAAAUAUGUACUAGCCAUUUCUUUUUUUUUUUUUUUUUUUUUAAAGCUGUUUAAUUUGCCUGAGUUUACUGUUAAGGAUAAUGGCCAUUAGAACAUACCUUUCCCAAUGUCACAUUUGAAAAGCUUUUGAUUCUUUCACUUUUAUAGAACCACAUAAACUUUAAAACAAAAUCUAAGAUUCCUAGUGCUGCAUCCUUCAAGUGCCUUUAGUAUGAAGGUGCAAUAAGCUCAAGACAACUGACCGCAUACAACAACAAAAAAUAAUUAAACAAAAACAUUUCAUUGUCUUAGCUCAUGAAACUGCUUACAGGAACUCACAAACCAUUACUGUGUGAUCUUAUAGUAAGCCACGUAUACAUCUCGUUUUCCUCCAUGUAACAUUAAAGCUUUCGAUGUCCACAAUUAGUCUUUAUAUUGUCAUAAUUGUACAUUGACACUGACAGACUUAAGCAUUUCCAUUCUUUUACACACGUUGUCCAUUCUGCUAACAAAAUACUGGGGAUAUUAUCACUGGUAAGAUAGUGUUU